rnacentral:rRNA from 1 species
GAUGAACGCUGGCGGCGUGCCUAAUACAUGCAAGUCGAGCGAACGGACGAGAAGCUUGCUUCUCUGAUGUUAGCGGCGGACGGGUGAGUAACACGUGGAUAACCUACCUAUAAGACUGGGAUAACUUCGGGAAACCGGAGCUAAUACCGGAUAAUAUUUUGAACCGCAUGGUUCAAAAGUAAAAGACGGUCUUGCUGUCACUUAUAGAUGGAUCCGCGCUGCAUUAGCUAGUUGGUAAGGUAACGGCUUACCAAGGCAACGAUGCAUAGCCGACCUGAGAGGGUGAUCGGCCACACUGGAACUGAGACACGGUCCAGACUCCUACGGGAGGCAGCAGUAGGGAGUCUUCCGCAAUGGGCGAAAGCCUGACGGAGCAACGCCGCGUGAGUGAUGAAGGUCUUCGGAUCGUAAAACUCUGUUAUUAGGGAAGAACAUAUGUGUAAGUAACUGUGCACAUCUUGACGGUACCUAAUCAGAAAGCCACGGCUAACUACGU